rnacentral:rRNA from 1 species
AUGGAACUUUGCUUCGCUGAUAAGCUCGCCACUGGGAGGUUUUCAAUGGGCUCUGGUGUGCCAUUGGGAAAACCUGUUGAUGUGGAGGGCAAAGGAAAACCCAUUGUUGUGGAGGGGCAAGGAACAAGUGGCGAGGGAUUUGUGAAUGGUCCUGUUGGGGCUGAGUUCGUAUUUGUUGGUGCUAGUGAAACUAAUGAUCCUUCUCCUAGUACAACUAAGAAGAGGAAGAGGACAUUUGUUAUGACUAAAGAAGACUCAAUCCAGGUUAACAACAUGUCUGAUGUUGUGCGUGAGAUUGCAAGUGCUAUCAACAACACAUGUCAUACCGAAACACACCCUGAUUUGUACAAGGCUGUAAUGGACCUUGUUGAGUAUGAUCUCGCUGAGCGGUUGGCUGUUUUAGAUUAUCUGAUUGAACAUAAGGGAAAAGACCUUAAUUUUGUGAAGAUGGAUGAGGAAGUCCGCAAAGCAUCGUUCAAGCGUAUCUUGGAGAAGAAUCCUGAUCUUGUUUGA